rnacentral:rRNA from 1 species
UGCAAGUCGAGGGGCAGCAUUGGAGUAGCAAUACUUCAGAUGGCGACCGGCGCACGGGUGAGUAACACGUAUCCAACCUGCCGCUUACUCGGGGAUAGCCUUUCGAAAGAAAGAUUAAUACCCGAUGGUAUAAAGAGUUCGCAUGUUCUCUCUAUUAAAGAAUUUCGGUAAGCGAUGGGGAUGCGUUCCAUUAGAUAGUUGGCGGGGUAACGGCCCACCAAGUCUACGAUGGAUAGGGGUUCUGAGAGGAAGGUCCCCCACAUUGGAACUGAGACACGGUCCAAACUCCUACGGGAGGCAGCAGUGAGGAAUAUUGGUCAAUGGACGAGAGUCUGAACCAGCCAAGUAGCGUGAAGGAUGACUGCCCUAUGGGUUGUAAACUUCUUUUAUAAGGGAAUAAAGUGAGGGACGUGUCCCUUUUUGUAUGUACCUUAUGAAUAAGGAUCGGCUAACUCCGUGCCAGCAGCCGCGGUAAUACGGAGGAUCCAAGCGUUAUCCGGAUUUAUUGGGUUUAAAGGGAGCGUAGGUUGACAUAUAAGUCAGCUGUGAAAGUUUACGGCUCAACCGUGAAAUUGCAGUUGAUACUGUAUGUCUUGAGUGUACAAGAGGUGGGCGGAAUUCGUGGUGUAGCGGUGAAAUGCUUAGAUAUCACGAAGAACUCCAAUUGCGAAGGCAGCUCACUGGGGUACAACUGACACUGAGGCUCGAAGGUGUGGGUAUCAAACAGGAUUAGAUACCCUGGUAGUCCACACAGUAAACGAUGAAUACUCGCUGUUUGCGAUAUACAGUAAGCGGCCAAGCGAAAGCAUUAAGUAUUCCACCUGGGGAGUACGCCGGCAACGGUGAAACUCAAAGGAAUUGACGGGGGCCCGCACAAGCGGAGGAACAUGUGGUUUAAUUCGAUGAUACGCGAGGAACCUUACCCGGGCUUGAAUUGCAGAGGAACAUAGUUGAAAGAUUAUGGCCGCAAGGUCUCUGUGAAGGUGCUGCAUGGUUGUCGUCAGCUCGUGCCGUGAGGUGUCGGCUUAAGUGCCAUAACGAGCGCAACCCUUAUCAUUAGUUACUAACAGGUCAUGCUGAGGACUCUAGUGAGACUGCCGUCGUAAGAUGUGAGGAAGGUGG